UCGGAGGUCCGACUUCCCGACGUAGCUUCCUCUCUAAACCCCCACCCCCGUACGGACCUCACCACAAUGGUGACAAUUGGUGGCGGGCGUAGAAGGGCAAUAACAAAGCACUGCUCUUUGGGACUUAAAAGACGAUCCAGACCCAUCCGCAACAGCCUGGUGUUUAAAUCAGCACAUCACAAAUAGGCACCUUGAACUGCACUUGCCGACAAGCCGUCUAUCUCUGAUAAAGCUCGAACAACAACAAGGGAGGCCUCGUCGGCUGAACACACGCAAGCCACGCUUUCAUCUGCCGGCGUCUGCUGACUCUCAACUAGUACACGCAAGCUUUCGACAUGGAUGUUUGCUGUUUUUCGGACACGGCUCAUUGGCUUUAAAACCCGGUGAACGUCUUUUGGCGAGCAGGAUGGAUCAGGCGAGGAGCAACGUGGAUUAAUAAGGCCCAUCAAGGUUUGACGGUGCACUCACAAUUUAAUCGGCCGAGCGGUCAGAAGCAGACAAGCAGGGAAGGGGAAAUUGAGAGGCGGUUGUCUUCAUUUCUAUGAUUUAGUUUGUCAGUUUGGGUGAAUGCUGCUGUCGGCGUUUGAUUGCUGUGGACUGGCUGAGACAAAGAAGACAAAACACUCUUCGAAUCAACUCAAUUUGCCAUAUAAGGUCCAGGCAGCUCGAAUGUUAAAAUAUAUACAGUGGACACCCGCAUAUUCACGGUUCAGUAUUUGUAAAUUCACCUACUUGCGGAUUUUUUGGGUGGAAGAUACCCCUCGUUAUUCAAGGAAAACUCCGCUUAUUCACAUUUUAUUUCAUGGCAAUUAUGAGGGAGCCUCAAUUAUUCGUGAAUU